rnacentral:rRNA from 1 species
GACGAACGCUGGCGGCGUGCUUAACACAUGCAAGUCGAACGGAAAGGCCCUGCUUUUGUGGGGUGCUCGAGUGGCGAACGGGUGAGUAACACGUGAGUAACCUGCCCUUGACUUUGGGAUAACUUCAGGAAACUGGGGCUAAUACCGGAUAGGAGCUCCUGCUGCAUGGUGGGGGUUGGAAAGUUUCGGCGGUUGGGGAUGGACUCGCGGCUUAUCAGCUUGUUGGUGGGGUAGUGGCUUACCAAGGCUUUGACGGGUAGCCGGCCUGAGAGGGUGACCGGCCACAUUGGGACUGAGAUACGGCCCAGACUCCUACGGGAGGCAGCAGUGGGGAAUAUUGCACAAUGGGUGGAAGCCUGAUGCAGCAACGCCGCGUGCGGGAUGACGGCCUUCGGGUUGUAAACCGCUUUCGCCUGUGACGAAGCGUGAGUGACGGUAAUGGGUAAAGAAGCACCGGCUAACUACGUG